rnacentral:sRNA from 1 species
AAUCUGUUGUGGACAGAUAAAAUGAAUGUGGGAAUCAUAUCCACCCGCGGUGAGGAUCAUUCCUUCACCGGCAAUCACUUCCGUGCCCGCACCGACCACCAUGUUUGGAUCCACACCGUCUUGAAUCAAUGGAUUCCCGCCAUGUCCAACCCCGGCAAUUCUUCCCUCUUUUAUUCCAACAUCUGCUUUUAUCACUCCCCACAGGGAAUCUAUAAUCGUGGCAUUGGUAAUGAUUAAGUCCAAGCAGUCCGCGUCCAAUGCCAGUGGAGACUGGCCCAUUCCAUCACG